UGUCGUCAGACUUUAACAUUAUAGGAAUAAAAUUGGUAAAUCCAAAUUUCUAGAGAGAGAGAGCGCCGUUAACCCCGACGGUUGGUGGUCAAGUCGUUUUGCCUUUUAUAAGAAAAGAAAAAUGUAAUACUUUUUGCUUGAAAAAUGAAAAUGUUUCAUACCUGAUCUAAAGUUGUUUGACUAACAGAAUAUUCCUCAAUCUUCAGCAGCUCGCGAUUUCUUUCCAGUUCACCAAACACAAAAGACAGAGAAGUUGUCUCAUUGUGCAACUGAUACUCCAGCAUAUUGUGAUGCUGAUCCUGAAAAAUUUUACGAUAAAAUAUAGUUAGAGGUGCACAGAAUAGUACUUUAGAAUUUAGAUAAUCCGACGAGAUACUGGAAAGUCGAAAUGUUGAAAUAUCAACACUCUGGAUAUUGUUCAUAUAAAUCCUUCUUUCCAGGUUAAAUAAGAAUUUAAAAUGUGGUUAUAAACGCCGUUUUCCACUAAGCGGAGCGGAAUUUCUCUUUGUCUUUUCUAAUUAGUUCCACCCGAGAAAUCACAAGACAAAGAGAAAUUCCGCUCCGCGGAAAAUUCCGCCUAGUGGAAAACGGCUUUAA